rnacentral:rRNA from 1 species
UACGGAAGGCAGCAGUGGGGAAUAUUGGACAAUGGGCGCAAGCCUGAUCCAGCCAUGCCGCGUGUGUGAAGAAGGCCUUUUUGGUUGUAAAGCACUUUAAGCGAGGAGGAGGCUCUCUUAGUUAAUACCUAAGAUGAGUGGACGUUACUCGCAGAAUAAGCACCGGCUAACUCUGUGCCAGCAGCCGCGGUAAUACAGAGGGUGCGAGCGUUAAUCGGAUUUACUGGGCGUAAAGCGUGCGUAGGCGGCUUUUUUAAGUCGGAUGUGAAAUCCCCGAGCUUAACUUGGGAAUUGCAUUCGAUACUGGGAAGCUAGAGUAUGGGAGAGGAUGGUAGAAUUCCAGGUGUAGCGGUGAAAUGCGUAGAGAUCUGGAGGAAUACCGAUGGGCGAAGGCAGCCAUCUGGCCUAUACUGACGCUGAGGUACGAAAGCAUGGGGAGGCAAACAGGAUUAGGAUAACC